rnacentral:rRNA from 1 species
GCACUGAAUGAGAUUUUAACACGAAGUGAGUGGCGGACGGGUGAGUAACACGUGGGCAACCUGCCCAGAAGCAGGGGAUAACACCUGGAAACAGAUGCUAAUACCGUAUAACAGAGAAAACCGCCUGGUUUUCUUUUAAAAGAUGGCUCUGCUAUCACUUCUGGAUGGACCCGCGGCGCAUUAGCUAGUUGGUGAGGUAACGGCUCACCAAGGCGAUGAUGCGUAGCCGACCUGAGAGGGUAAUCGGCCACAUUGGGACUGAGACACGGCCCAGACUCCUACGGGAGGCAGCAGUAGGGAAUCUUCCACAAUGGACGCAAGUCUGAUGGAGCAACGCCGCGUGAGUGAAGAAGGGUUUCGGCUCGUAAAGCUCUGUUGUUAAAGAAGAACGUGGGUGAGAGUAACUGUUCACCCAGUGACGGUUUUAACCAGAAAGCCACGGNUAACUACGUGCCAGCAGCCGCGGUAAUACAA